GACGUAGGGGGCGAGCGUUGUCCGGAUUCAUUGGGCGUAAAGAGCGCGUAGGCGGCUUGGUAAGUCGGGUGUGAAAUCCUGGGGCUCAACCCCGGAACUGCACCCGAAACUGCCCGGCUAGAGGUAGGUAGGGGAGAUCGGCAUUCCUGGUGUAGCGGUGAAAUGCGCAGAUAUCAGGAGGAACACCGGUGUCGAAGGCGGAUCUCUGGGCCUUACCUGACGCUGAGGCGCGAAAGCUAGGCGAGCGAACAGG
rnacentral:rRNA from 1 species